CCAAAAACAUAGCCCUCAAAACAAUUGAAGGUGAAACCUGCCCAAUGAUUUAAUACACUAAAUUUAAAAAUUUAAUAAAAAAAAAAUUAAAUGGCUGCAGUAACUAUGACUGUAAAAAUGUAGCAUAAUAAUUCGCCACUUAAUUAGUGGAUAGUAUGAACGGUUUAACGAAAAUUCCACUGUCUUAUAUAAUAAAAAAAAAAUUUAAAUCAUAGUUAAGAUGCUAUGUAAAACUGUAAGACGAAAAGACCCUAUAAAGCUUAACUAUAUUUCUUAAUAAUUUAAUAAAAAAAACUUAAAAAAAUUAUUUAUUAAGAUUUGGUAGUUUCAUUGGGGCGAUGAUCUCUAAAAAUAAACAGAGAUAAACCUAUAUAAUAAUAAAAUUUACUGUAUAAUUAAUAAAUUUAACAGUUACAAAGUAGGGUAUAAUGACCCAUUAAUUUUAUAAAAAGAAUUAAUGAUCAAUAAAUAAAAGCUACUUUAGGGAUAACAGGAUAAUAAUUUCUUAGAGACCCAAUCGAAGAAAAAGUUUAUCACCUCGAUGUUGAAUUAAGAUAACCUAAUGACGCAGCAGUAAUUAAAGGUAGGUC
rnacentral:rRNA from 1 species